AUGGCUUCGUAUUCCGAACAAGAUGGAAAGCCUCUACCAAAAUUCGGAGACUGGGAUGUAAAUGAUCCAGCCUCAGCUGAAGGUUUUACUGUCAUAUUCAACAAGGCUAGAGACGACAAGAAAAUCGCAUCUGCUUCUGGACGUUUUCCUUCGCAACGAAGAUAUGAUUCUCGCGGUCGCAACAACAAGAAUAAUAAAAACACAAAGACCUCGUCAAAGAAAAAGUGGUUUUGCUUUAGUGCUUAG